rnacentral:rRNA from 1 species
AUUGAACGCUGGCGGCGUGCUUAACACAUGCAGGUCGUGCGGUAACAGGCGUAGCAAUACGUGCUGACGAGCGGCGAACGGGUGCGUAAUACAUGGGAAUCUGCCCUUUAGUGGGGAAUAACCCGGCGAAAGCCGGGCUAAUGCCGCAUAAAGAUCUUCGGAUGAAAGCGGGGGAUCGUAAGACCUCGCGCUGAUGGAUGAGCCCAUGUCGGAUUAGCUAGNGGUGAGGUAACGGCUCACCAAGGCGACGAUCCGUAGCUGGUCUGAGGAGGACGGCCAGCCACACUGGGACUGAGACACGGCCCAGACUCCUACGGGAGGCAGCGAGUGGGGAAUAUUGGACAAUGGGCGAAAGCCUGAUCCAGCGACGCCG